UCCUGCCUCUGAUUCUUGCAGCUCUCAGUGAGUCGGAGAGGCGGAUGGAUGGACAGAUGGGAGGGAGGGAGAGAGGGAGGGAGGGAGAGGGAAGGAGAGAGAGGGAGGGAGAGGGAAGGAGAGAGAGGGAGGGAGGGAGAGAGAGGGAAGGAGAGAGAGGGAGGGAUAGAGGGAAGGAGAGAGAGGGAGGGAGGGAGAGAGAGGGAAGGAGAGAGAGGGAGGGAGAGAGGGAAGGAGAGAGAGGGAGGGAGGGAGAGAGAGAGAGAGGGAGGGAGAGAGACAGAGAGAGGGGAGAGGGAGGGAGAGAGAGAGGGAAGGAGAGAGAGGGAGGGAGAGGGAAGGAGAGAGAGGGAGGGAGGGAGAGAGAGGGAAGGAGAGAGAGGGAGGGAGAGAGACAGAGAGAGGGGAGAGAGAGGGAAGGAGAGAGAGGGAGGGAGAGGGAAGGAGAGAGAGGGAGGGAGGGAGAGAGAGGGAAGGAGAGAGAGGGAGGGAGGGAGAGAGAGAGAGAGGGAGGGAGGGGGAGGGAGGGAGAGAGAGGGAGGGAGGGAGAGAGAGAGGGAGGGAGAGGGAGGGAGGAGAGAGAGAGGGAGGGGGAGGGAGAGGGGGAGGGAGAGGGAGAGAGAGGGAAGGAGAGAGAGGGAGGGAGGGAGGGAGAGAGAGAGGGAGAGAGGGAAGGGGAGGGAGGGAGAGAGAGGGAGGGAGAGAGAGAGAGAGAAGGGGAGAGAGAGAGGGAGAGAGAGAGAGAGAGGGAAGGAGAGAGAGGGAGGGAGGGAGAGAGAGAGGGAGGGAGGAGAGAGAGAGAGAGAAGGGGAGAGAGAGAGGGAGAGAGGGAAGGAGAGAGAGGGAGGGAGGGAGAGAGAGAGGGGCACGGAGAGAGAGGGAGAGGUUGCAGUUUCCCAGAAUCCCAUGCUGCGUGCUGCAACUUUCAGCAGAGGUUAAGGCGUUCUGUCUUGGGGCAGGUCCCUCCCCACCCUCCCUCUGUCCCACCGUCCCUCCACAUUGUUCCACCGUCCCUCCC
rnacentral:lncRNA from 1 species